rnacentral:rRNA from 1 species
GACGAACGCUGGCGGCAUGCCUAAUACAUGCAAGUCGAACGAGUGGCGGACGGGUGAGUAAUGUAUGGGGAACUGCCGGAUAGAGGGGGAUAACAACUGGAAACAGUGGCUAAAACCUCAUACUAUCGGAGGAAGCAAUAUGGGGGUAGCUAGUAGGUGGGGUAACGGCUCACCUAGGCGACGAUCGCUAGCUGGUCUGAGAGGAUGAUCAGCCACACUGGAACGGAGACACGGUCCAGACUCCUACGGGAGGCAGCAGUGGGGAAUAUUGCACAAUGGGCGCAAGCCUGAUGCAGCCAUGCCGCGUGUAUGAAGAAGGCCUUAGGGUUGUAAAGUACUUUCAGCGGGGAGGCGUUACCCGCAGAAGAAGCACCGGCUAACUCCGUGCCAGCAGCCGCGGUAAUUC